GACGAACGCUGGCGGCGUGCUUAACACAUGCAAGUCGAACGGAAAGGCCCCUUUGGGGGUACUCGAGUGGCGAACGGGUGAGUAACACGUGAGUAACCUGCCCUUGACUUCGGGAUAACUUCAGGAAACUGGGGCUAAUACCGGAUAGGAAUCCUUGCUGCAUGGUGGGGGUUGGAAAGCUUCGGCGGUUUUGGAUGGACUCGCGGCUUAUCAGCUUGUUGGUGGGGUAGUGGCUUACCAAGGCUUUGACGGGUAGCCGGCCUGAGAGGGCGACCGGCCACAUUGGGACUGGGAUUCGGCCCAGGCUCCUACGGGGGGCAGCAGGGGGGAAUAUUGCACAAUGGGCGGAAGCCUGAUGCAGCAACGCCGCGUGCGGGAUGACGGCCUUCGGGUUGUAAACCGCUUUCAGCAGGGGCGAAGCUUGUGGUGACGGUACCUGCAGAAGAAGCACCGGCUAACUACGUG
rnacentral:rRNA from 1 species